rnacentral:rRNA from 1 species
UGGGGAAUCUUGGACAAUGGGGGCAACCCUGAUCCAGCCAUGCCGCGUGAGUGAUGAAGGCCUUAGGGUCGUAAAGCUCUUUCGCCUGUGAAGAUAAUGACGGUAGCAGGUAAAGAAACCCCGGCUAACUCCGUGCCAGCAGCCGCGGUAAUACGGAGGGGGUUAGCGUUGUUCGGAAUUACUGGGCGUAAAGCGCACGUAGGCGGACCAGAAAGUUGGGGGUGAAAUCCCGGGGGCUCAACCCCGGAACUGCCUCCAAAACUAUUGGUCUAGAGUUCGAGAGAGGUGAGUGGAAUUCCAAGUGUAGAGGUGAAAUUCGUAGAUAUUAGGUGGAACACCAGUGGCGAAGGCGCCUAACUGGUCCGGUACUGACGCUGAGGAACGAAAGCGUGGGGAGCAAACAGGAUUAGAUACCCUGGUAGUCCACACCGUAAACGAUGAAUGCCAGUCGUCGGGUAGCAUGCUAUUCGGUGACACACCUAACGGAUUAAGCAUUCCGCCU